UCGCGUUCUGCCAGAUACGCCGAUAGAAAGCAACAAGGAAGGACGUGGUUUCCAUGUCUGCCAUGUGCGCGCAUAUC
rnacentral:snoRNA from 2 species